rnacentral:rRNA from 1 species
UUCGACCUACGGGAGGCAGCAGUGGGGAAUAUUGCGCAAUGGACGAAAGUCUGACGCAGCGACGCCGCGUGAGGGAUGAAGGUUUUCGGAUCGUAAAACUCUGUCAGGAGGGAAGAAAGCGCAUGGCGCCAAUCAGCCAUGCGUUGACGGUACCUCCAAAGGAAGCGCCGGCUAACUCCGUGCCAGCAGCCGCGGUAAUACGGAGGGCGCGAGCGUUAAUCGGAAUUACUGGGCGUAAAGCGCGCGCAGGCUGUUGUGUAAGUUGGUGGUGAAAUCCCACGGCUCAACCGUGGCA